rnacentral:misc_RNA from 1 species
GGAAUUAGUUAGAGAGUUGUCAAAGGACAUUGAAUAACACUAAGACCACGAACCAAUCAGUUCAUAAACCGUGCAAUAACAGUUACCAUAGGAUACAUGGUUAAGACCUGAGAGAUACCUGACCGUUAACUUUGCCAAGUUCACCAAAUCACCAAAUCCAAAGGCCACAUAAUUGUUGAAAAAAGUAGUCAUCCCUGUUACCGUCACCUUGUGCAACGUUUUGUUGGCACAAGCCCGGAACCUCGAGAAUCCAACAAAGUGAAAUUUAACCGUCAUCUACAGAUAUAUAAAUCCUAUUUGCUUAUACAAACUACAUUUCAAUUUACAUGAGCUAUGAUUCCAUCACAGAAAAUUAUAACCAAGGAUUUUCUCAUCUGAUAAUAGGGAUUAUAACCCAGUUUCAAUGAUAAGUUCAGCAGCCGCACCCAUUGCACCAAUCCCACCAAGUCCCAGCAAGGCCACAGCCAGUUCUUCCUCGUUCCAUUGCCUCAAUCCCUUGCUCAGCCUCUUCAAUAAAUCAACAUUAACCUCACGCACCCAUGUUGGUGUGCAAGUCACCAUCAAGCUCAAAAACCCAGAUACAUAUGCUCGUGCAGUGGCCCAAUCACAACCAAGCGAUAUUUUCCCAUCUAGUGCACUUGCAAGAAAUUCUAAGUGAGACCCAAGGACCUUUGGCCGUCGUUUUGAUGGCGGUGAUUGUGAGUCCACACCCCAUGCAAAUGUCCCACAAAGCAUCACAAGGAAUGCAAGUGCAUAACCUCCAAGCAUAUUAACUACACCUCCAGAUUCUCCACCUUCCUGCUCUGACCCAUGGGCUGAUAUAAACCAAGAGGGUAAAGUUUCUUGGAUUAAAGAUUGAACCAAACUCAACCCACCUGAUAUCCAUACUAAAGAAGCUCCAAGUGAUGCUGCAAGCUUGACACGCAUCAUUGCUGCAGCAAGAGAAACUUGACCAUAUCUCAUCCCAUACUUCGCCCUCUUUAAUUUCUCCACGGUCUCUCUAGGUAACCCACUGUUUGCAAUAUCUUCAACAGAAUGCAUUAGAAUAGAGAGAAUUUUUUCUGUCAUGAACAUGACAUCUCUGAUAGAUCGAUGCACUCGUAAGUAGAGAAUUCCAGGGGCAACAGCCGAGAUCCCACCAGAUAAGUGAGAGCCAAAGCCAUGGCCUAGAAGGGCACCAACACCUCCAUUACUAGAAAUGUGAGGGGGGCUGAAUCCAAGAGUAGAAGUGAAGCAACUCUUCAGUAGCUGAACUACAGCAUCACCAUUGUGGUGGAAGACAGUGCCAGAAGCAGAGAACACAAGGAAGUCACUCCAACGCUUUACCUUCUGCGCCCAUAAGGCAGAUAUGAUGGGCAUGCAUGGCCAAGGGCAACCAGCAGCAAGGGCAUUCAAGGCUGGGCCAACCAGGACGAGGAACCGGUCAGACACUUUAUCAAGUCGAUAAGUGAUUGUGAGGCUUACUAGGGCAGCUAAAGGCAAAGGAAGUGUAGCUGGAGAGCUCCCCCCUACAGGAAGGCUUGGGAUGUCAACACCAGUGGCAGAAAGUAUUUUCUUUAUCUGUUGCUCAACAGUGGCUAAAUUGGCAGCAGGGCUAGGCCAAUCAGUUCCAUUCAUAAAAGCUGGCUUCCAUAUGCCCCGUGUAACUUCAGCUGAAAGGUAGCUGACAAUGGUGGCCAAAGAUGCAGGUAGGAAAUCAGCAAGAUCUUUGAGUCCUGUAGCCAGUUCACGGGGGGAUAAUCUUCCAUGGGCACAGGCUGUUAGAGCUGCAUCAAGUGCAAAUGGAGUUGCUUCUAGGAUAUCCCAUGCAGGUACUUGAAGUCCAACAUAAGCUUCCUCAGCUCCAGGGCCAGAUGAAUUACUACUUCCAGAAGUUGUAGAAGUCAGCGAUUGAACACUUCUGUUUAUCCUUCUGAACAUCAUAUUGAGGAGUGCAUCAACAAGCUGGUGAACAGGGGUACCAUGUACAAGACCAGAAAAUGUGGAAACAAUACAUUCUAUAUGUUGCCAGUACCAGCGUUUUAAUUGUGGAAAAGAAUCCAUGAAUAUGGGAUCUAAAGAUAUAUUUAAAUUUUUUGAGUAUCUUCUAAUUUUGAUGCGAUCCCUAGGCAAAGUUCCAAAAGAAGCUAAUUGGGAGUUCCGAACCAAUAAGAGGUACUCAGGGCCCACUUGGGAGCCCACUGGUGUUUUAUCUCCCAUCACAUUUUCAAGAGGUGGAUAAUGAAAUCUCCACAAUCUCACCAAAAGUGAGAAUGCAUUGGAGAACACUGCAUGACAAGAGAUUUCGUCCUCUGAUGGAAGAGUGCUUGAGACCUUGGGAACACUAGAACCAAAGACCUCGCAAAUGGGCAUCAAUGCACCUGCUAGUAGUGGAGCCAAACCAUGCAGGGAUAAAAUCUGUACACAAUCCACAGAUGCUAUUCCAACAAGCAGAACAUUCAAAAGUGGAGCAUAAUCAAUCAAGUAGCUCUCACUUCCAGAAUAAUCAGCAGGAACUGGUGGUGACAGCAAUUUUAUAAUGAAAAGAACGGUAUGUUCCUGUAUAUUCCAACCACGAAGAAGAGACGCUCCACAAAGAAUGUUAGCAGCAGUUAUCUUCUCAUCAUUGGAGCCACUGACUGCAAUCUCAUAUACUUUCUCGAUCUCUGGUAAACUUCCAUCAAAUCGAUGAGCUUAAAUUCAGUUGCCAUACCACUUGAAGCAGGAGUUGCCACCAAAAUGUUUAUCAUCGAGGGGGUUAGAGGUGACCCCUUCAUCAAUGAUGACCACCCAGGUAUUUGGCCAAGAACGCCACGAGGUAUUUGGUUGGAGUGUGCAUUCACGUACCCUGCCCAAAAAUAUGCUGAUGUGUCUAACAGAUUUCUUGCAAUGCAUGCCUCAACAAUCAGGUGCCUCAUGUUUCCAGAACAGUCAAUAGGCAUGUCAUUCAUGCUCAUGCUUUCAUAAUAGCUAUUACUACUGUUCACUCCCGAGAUAAACAGUGUAGCUUUUGCAGCAGCUUGAUUGGCUACUGAAGUAACAGACUGAGGUGGGGUCAACAAGCUAUCAUAAUCACCUAGCAAUUGUAAUGCAGUAAUAAGACCCCUGCGACAUUUUCCCAGACCUUGUUUCUCUUUCAUUUGGUCAGUAGGGCUGUGUUCAAUUUCAUCAAUCAGUUCACCUUCUUCUUCUUCAAUAAUAUUAGCCACUGCCAGUGUCGUAAUAGACAAUAGCAUGCACAAGCAGGUAUCAAUUCGAGGUACAGGACCCUCACUGGGUUCCCUUUCCCUUUGAACAAGCCGUAAAGCUGCAAUCCAGAGACCUAGAAAAGUAUCAUGCCAUGUGGUACCAUUAACUGCUUGCAGAGCUUUUACCAAACCUGUAAGAUUUUCUACAGCACCGAUUGCUGCCACUUGUGAUCCAUCCAUAGCAUCUUCUAGAAAAAGAUCAAUUGGAAGCCAGAGCACAGACCAACUAGCUCCAUGGCAUUGACCAGCAGAAGAUAUCAGAGAUCCAGAAGACAUGACAGCUUGAAAGUCUUGCUGUGAUUUUUUUUUGCACUCUUGAGACACAAGUGGUCGUGUAUCAGAUGUCAGCUGCAGAAGUAUCUCUGCAGUUAUAUGUUUUGAAUUCCUCAAGGCUGCUGAAUAUGCUGUGAGCUGCCGCACUCGCUGAAUAAAGCCCCGCCAGUGUGAAGGCAAGUUUUGUUGUGCCAAGUAGAGAAUCCUUGAAGUUACUUUGUUCUGCAGAAACUCUCCCAUUAGUUCAAUAGCCAUUGUAGUAUUUGCUUUGUGCAGCCCCUCGUGAAGCUCAUUUCUCUUCUCACCAAAAGUUUCAUGACCAUCUAUUUCCAAAUCUUGCAGGCUGGUUGGCCAUUUAGACUUCUUUUCUGAGGUAAGAUCCAGUAAACCUUCAUCAUCCAAUGA